CUUAAAAUCUGCAGGUAUUAAAUUACUUGUCGAGUUGUAGCUUAUGGAGGCAGUCUCAUCUCUGCGGCUUGGUAAAAGUUCCUUUGAAUAGGACAUCAAAGAGGGUGAAAAUCCCGUAUUUGACCAUGCUGUGCAUACUAAAAGCAGGGAUAUAUGAGCUGUUUUCUUCGAGUCGGGUUGUUUGGGAUUGCAGCCCUAAUUUGGAGGUAAAUUUCUUCUAAAGCUAAAUAUUUGCAAGAGACCGAUAGCAAACAAGUACCGUGAGGGAAAGAUGAAAAGCACUUUGAAAAGAGAGUGAAAAGUACGUGAAAUUGUUGAAAGGGAACCAGUUGGUAGCCAAGCUUCGAUAAAGGUGGGGCAACCUGUCUUUACGAGGUCAACAUCGGUUAUUGUCGCCUGAGAGGAAUUUUGUAGUUCGGCGGAGUAAGGUAGAAUGGGUGGUUGCUUUCGGGCAAUUAAGCCACUCAUUUGUUAUAGACUCUAUGGGAUUGCUUUAAGCCUUGAGGUGACGGUGACCGAGGUACGCAGUGUUUGCCUUUGGCAAUGGAGGAAUAUGGGAAGGUAUGGUUCGUUUGGGUUUUAUAGACAGCUUGCUGACUAUGAUAGCAAAAGGAUAUUCCUCAUCUCAUAUUUUUACCCAGAAACACUUUGGAUGUUGACGAAAAGGCACCAAUUGACCCGUCUUGAAACACGGACCAAGGAGUCCAACAUAUAUGCGAGUAUAUGGGAAUAUAUAAACCCACAUGCGUAAUGAAAGUGAAAUUUUUUGAGUGUGACCUUUUCCCUUCGUGGAAUUGGGCAACACCAACCGGCCUUAGAUAGCGCUGCUUGACAAGGCUGAGUAUGAGCAUAUAUGCUGGGACCCGAAAGAUGGUGAACUAUGCCUGAAUAGAGUGAAGUCAGAGGAAACUCUGAUGGAGGCUCGUAGAGAUUCUGACGUGCAAAUCGAUCUCCAAAUUUGGGUAUAGGGGCGAAAGACUAAUCGAACCAUCUAGUAGCUGGUUCCUGCCGAAGUUUCCCUCAGGAUAGCAGAGACUGGAUAAGCAGUUUUACGAGGUAAAGCGAAUGAUUAGAGGCCUUGGGGAUGUAACAUCCUUAACCUAUUCUCAAACUUUAAAUGCGUAAGAAGCCUUCUUUUUCUUAAUUGAAAAGGGGCCUUUAUACGAAUGCAUCAGUCUCUAGUGGGCCAUUUUUGGUAAGCAGAACUGGCGAUGCGGGAUGAACCGAACGUAGAGUUAAGGUGCCCAAAUGCACGCUCAUAUAGACACCAUAAAAGGUGUUAGUUCAUCUAGACAGCAGGGCGGUGGCCAUGGAAGUCGGAAUCCGCUAAGGAGUGUGUAACAACUCACCUGCCGAAUGAACUAGCCCUGAAAAUGGAUGGCGCUUAAGCGUGCUACCGAUACUCUACCGCUGAAGUUAUUAAUAAAUAACACUUUGGCGAGUAGGCAGGCGUGGGGGUUUUGAGUAGAGAAGCUGUGGGAGUGAUCUCCAGUGGAACAACC
rnacentral:rRNA from 1 species